UGGGAACAGCGCCCCCUGCUGCUCGUGCUCCUUCCUGCCUCCCGCCCAGCCAACCAGGAGCCCCCCCCCCCCCCCCCCCCACCAGGAGCUUGGGGCCAGGGAGGCUAUGGGGCCCCUUCCGGGGCAUCUGAGCCUCUCCCGGAGCCCUGCCCUCCCGUGGGUGCGCGUUCCUCGAAGGGUGGCGCUUUAAGGAAAGCAGAGGCUCCGCUGUCAGGACCUACAGGGAACGGGAGGCAGAUUGUCCACGGUCCAGCCUUCACGACUGGGCUCUGCGGGUGUCCCCGGGCACCCGGCCAGGCCCUCUCUGGUCCGCCACUGUCAUCCGCUCUCCGACACCGCCCACAAAUGCUGGGCACUAUUUUGUUGGCAUAAAUGUGUCAUCCAUUCGUGUGCAUUUGCUCCCCCUCACCGCUCCCAUGUUUAAGGCUCUUCGUGAGCAAGAACAAGAUAAAAAAAGAGAAAAGAGAAACAAAGCAAAGCAAAUAAAAGGGGGGGGGGAGGGAAGACACAUAAUGGGAAGCCAGAAAUGAGGGUAAUAUGCAAACUGUUAUUACCACAAGAGGAUAUUUUUAGCGCAUGCCCAUAAAUUUGUCUCCGAGCUUCCUGGUAGCCAGGGCAAAGAGGGAAACGUGAUGUCCAUGUGAUGGAAACGAGCCCAUUAUCCCAGGCAGCCUAUUGUUUCUCACCGUCGAGGAGAGAAGGGCCCCCCGGGGAGCCUCAGAAAGAAGAUGCUGCCGACGUCCUGACAGCACGCUCCGCGGUGGGGCCUGUGUGGCUCCUCGUGCAGUAUUCCUCGGUGGGGACCCGGGCCAACACAGCUCAGGGAUCCCGCGAGACGCUCCAUUGGCCAGCAGGCGUGACCUGCAUUCUCCUGGGGGUUUGCCACUCCUUCAGCACUGGGGCCUGCGCUUGGCAGAAAGUUGUAGAAGCUAAGUCGGGAGCAGGGGCUGAGAUCCUGAGGUUGGUGGGAACCGCCUCACCCGCCCACUCAUGAGCACACGUGCCCCACGCCAGGCCUCCGCAGGUGCCACACGGCCACAGGCAAAGAGAUCCACGAACCCUUGUUCCGUGAACGGGCUGGGCUCAGCCCAUGUAGUUUGGGGCACACAAGACAGCAGGGCAAGAAGGUUCUAGAAGAGGGGAGAGGGUCUGUGGGGACUGAGGGCCCUGGGAACCGUGUAGCAAGGGCCACAGAUGCUGCCGUGGGACCGUCUAAGAAAACGUAGCUCAGGGACUGAGGCGUUGUCCCCAGGUCAGCGCUGGUGUGGGGGGGGGGACUGGCGUCACGGCCGCAGAAGCCAGCCGGAGGGUGGUCCUGGCCCUGCGCUCUGCCCUAUCUAUGAGCUCGUGACAAGUGCCUUCUGGGGGACACCCUCACAUCCUUGGGCAAAGGGGGAUACUUCCCGUGGGGCUCCGGGUCCUGCACCUGCGGACGAGGGUUCUUGCUGUAAACAGUGACCUUGCCUCUGGGGUGCAGUUAUGAUACGACCACCAUCUAGGUCAUGCCUGACCCGGCUCCAGGCGGCAGCCCCUUGCGGAGAGGGACAGUGUCUCAUCUCCCCAGGGCUGGAGCACGCUGGGCGUCACACGGCGUUACCACCCACGAUUGGAAUGGAAUUGAGCGCAUCCGGGCCGGACCUGGGCUGGGCCGGGGUCUGCCUCCCCUCCCCCUCCAUCCCGGGGCACCCCCUGCCGUGCCUCUAGCUCUGCAGAGAGCCGGACGGGGUUGCCCCGGGCCCUGGUCCUCGGGCCGAGCUGUCCAAACGCCGGGCAGGCUCUACCCCGUCCCCUGACCCUCGUCCAGGCCUGGGCUUCACAUGGGGUGAGGUCAUAGCUUAUGUCACUUGGGGACCUCAAAGACCAUCCCGGGCCACACCUCGGCCUGUGAUAAGACUCAUCAGGCCACAUCAGUGGGUGACUCAGAGGGUGGGGUGGCCGGGGGUCAGUGGCCUGGGAGCAUCUGUCUGCCGUCCCCUCCCCUUGGCAUCCACCACACUUAGAGGAAGCCAGUCCCUCUGAGAGGGCGACCUUACCCUUCCCGGGGGGAAGGAAACUUGGGGGCCUGGCAGGGGGCCACUCCAGGACCCGGGGAUUGGAGGGCCUUCCUGAGUGGGUGGCAUUCGAGAGGGGCUCCGACCACCAGGGCAGGGGCUGCAGGAAGGGGGUGCAAGAAGGCAGGACACCUGGAGGGACAAGAUGAUUCCUCAGCUCCCGGUCCUUCAGGGUCAGCGACAGAAAGCCCCGCUCCAACUGGCCUCAACAAAAGGGAAUUGACGCGGUGGGCUGGCAUCAGGUAUGGCCCGAUCCAGGGACUCCGAAUGUCCUCCGGCCCGUGUGGAUUGUGUUCCCCUGGUGCUGGCUGCAUGACGGCCACCAGCAGAGCCAGGCACCGUGCUCCAGGGCGAGUCCCCAGCAGCCCUGCAGAAGUCUCAGUGCAUCUCAUUGGCCCUGGGGGCUCUCCUGUCCAUCCCUGACCUAGUCACGGAGGCAACGGAGUCCGGAGCUGCGUCCCGUCCGUGUCUGAUCACCUGCGGGCUCGGCGUUCUCCAGAGGACGAUGGUCCCCGCUGGCAGGAAGGUAUAUCCAGAGACCGAGCUGACAGAGGUGCUGGGUGACCGCACCAGGAGACGUGAGCAUCCCCUUCCCAGGCUUCCUGGCAGGGCCUCUGCUCACACACCUCUGAUGACGGGGAGCUCACCACCACCAAAGCAGUCCCUUCGGUUACUAGAAUGUUCUUCCUUUGAGUUAAAUUCUGCUCCUGUAACUCCCACCUUUGGACUCUGCUCGACCCCACAAGGCUGUAGAGAAUACAUCAGUCCCCUCAUGGACAAAAGGAGGCCGUAAACACCUGAGGCCGGUCCCCAGUUGUUUCUUCUCUAGUCAUUUGCUAGGUGACCUGGGGCCCCAGUUUCUUACCUGCUGGAGGAUGAGAAGAAAGAGGCUUCCUCCUGGGGCUCCCAAGAGCCAAAGGAGGAGAUGGGUGGGGUGCUAGGAUGCCUCCCAAGAUUCCUGCCCCCUAGUAUGCACACCCUGCGUAAUUCCCUUCCCCUUGACUGUGGGUGGGCCUGACCUAAUCAGGCAAGCCCUCAAAAGGAACUGGGCCCUUCCUGAAGUCUGAGGCUUAAAGCAUAGAGAGCUUGGAAGUGCGAGGGGCCCAGGAAGCGGGCCGCGGGGCAAGGACCCAGGGCGAUCUCUAGGAGCUGAGCAGACCCCAGCUGACAGCCAGCAAGAAAAUGGGAACCACAGUCCCGCAACCACGAGGAAUGAAUUCUGCAAACACCCCGAAGACGCUUUCCUCGCUGAGCCUCCGGCCGGGGGUGCUGCUGGCCGACCCCCUGCGAGACUUUGAGCCAGGACGAGCCACAGUGUGCCAGCCUCUUGACCCACGGAGACAGCGAGGCAAUGAAGGAGGCAAACCGAGGCCCGGGCAGGGCGAGUGGGUUGCUGAGACAACCAGGCUAAUCGACAUAAGGUCACAGGGACUGAGCCUCUCCCCUGCAGCGGCGCGAACCCUUCCGCCACGUCCUCCGAAGCAGCUGCUGUUACUGACAUGUUCAUUUCACGCAUGAAGAAAGCGGGGCCCAGAGAGGUCCAGUGACACCCCGAGGUCACACGGCAAGCGAGCCACAGAAUCCGGAUUCAAACCCAGGCAGCGGGACUGGAACCUCUCGUGCGCAAGUUGGUUGGGAACCGGCCGACGCCGAGGCCCAGGCGGGGAGGCUGAGCCAAGAUGGGCAGGGUAGGGGCCCGGCUGAUGGAAAUGAUGAAAUCGGGGCCCCCGGCCAGCAGGGCUUGGGCUCUUCCUUUUAAGACAACAACCCUCAGCUUCGUCUGCAGCCCAGGCCCUUCUUGGAAAUCACCCCGCCCUGCCCCAUCCCCCACGGGGGAGGUGUUGGACGUGACCCCUCUCCUGGGAGGGCACGGCCCGUCUGUUCCGUCAGGCUCGGCUGCUCUCAGGACCGCCAGCCCCACCCACCGGGCUGGUGGCCGCGGGCCUCCACCGCCUGCCUCCCGGGAGCCGUCCGGCCUUCAGGCCCCGAGGCCCUUCUCCGGCCUCGUGGGAGCCUCGGGCCGGGCGAUGCCCCGGGACAGUCACUCUGGCCGUCCAGGGUGUCAGGCAUGGGCAAACCUGCCAGGAGCCACGGGCAGGAGUCUGGAACCCCUUUCCCUGCGCCCCUGGGCCGAGCCGCUCUUCAGACCCCGUGAGCUGGGUCCUCCGGGGUCCCCGUGGGCCAGCUGUGCUGAAGAUGUGAGAAUCAGGACCCGUGACUCUGUAACCAUCCGAUGACCUUGAGGGGAGUGUCUGCCUUGGCACGAAGCCAUAUGAGAAGUGGAACUGAGGGGAGAGAUAAAGCAGAGCCUGGAUCCUGGGUCCUGGAUCAUGCCACGCCUGAAGCUGUACUCUGUUCUCAGCGAAUUAAGUCAAUAAUCAGCUGGGUUGGGUGUCCUGUGGUUACCCGCAACUUAGAUUGUUGCACAGGGGCCGUGUGCAGCCGGACCCUGACAGUAAAUAUAGAUUCACAAGGAGCACUCAGCCCAGGGGCGGGGGUUAUGCACCUACUGUUUACAGAGCGCCCAUGAUGUGCUGGGCACUGUCCCCUUUAUGUGCACACCGGGUCCCCACUUUACGCGUGGGGACCUGAGGCUAAGGCCUGUGAAAUGGCGGCUGGGGCUUGGCCCCUGCUUUGUCUCACCCAGAGCCUGUGUGGUUCCCCCUCCCCAGGCGGCCCGACCCCAGCGGCGGCCCAGAGCCCCGGCUCACUGGACAUCUGGAACCGGGAGCAUCUGGCUGCAGGCGGGAGGCCCGGGCAUGGCUGGCACCCGGAGCUCGCGGGGGGCGCACGGUGUAACCGCGAGCCAGCUCCAUGACGCAGCCGGCUCCCGACCCCGUGUGCUCAGUCUCUGACGCGUCCUGCCUGCCAUGUGACUGUCAGAGCCCCGUCUCUCCUCCUUCACACAGGCACACCUGGCCUCCGCACUCUUGUGCACUGUGCCUCUCGGAGGCUGCCAGGGCACCAGCUGACCAGCCGGCAGAGACCGGCGCCCCGGGCACUGAGUGCCCCCCUCCUUGAGGGCAGCUGCGCCCCACGCCUCCCACCCUCCUGGACGACGGUCUCUGCCCUCCGCCUACCUGUCCCGCCUUUGGCUUUCAUCCGCCCUCCGACCCACCCUGCCCCUGCCCCAGGUCCUGGCUGGCACCCCCUCGUUCCCAGGACGCCUCACAGCGGGGACUUCCUCCUCCGUCCCUCCGGGGUUCCGACCGCACACCCCAUCGCUGGCAUCUCCGGUUUGGAAAACUGUACCGGCUUCAGUGACACGUGAUUCACACGCCACACAAAGGACACGUGUCAGUGCGUUUUCAGUGUUCACAGACGUGUGCAGGCGUCCCCACACUUAAUUUUAGGACGCCCCCGAACAAACCCUGCGCCCGUUAGCUGCCACUCCCCCCCCCCCCCCGCCCCCCAGCAACCAGUAAUGUGCCUCCUCUGUCCCCGCAGACCCGCCCUCUCCGGACAUGUCAGGCACAUGGAGCCCUACAAGGUGUGGCACCUGUCGGCACUCUGUCCCCUUUCACAGCUGCACAGGGGGUCCACCGCACGGACACGCGACGCUUGGUUCAUCCAGUCACCGUCAAGGAGCAUUUGGGAGCGCACUCCCGGGAGCGGAAUUGCCGGGGCUCGCGGACCGGCCUCCGGAGGAGCCGCCAGCCCGUCUUCCCGGGUGACCGCAGUGCCCUCCGCCCCCGCCAGCAGCGCCCCGGGCUCCCGCCCUCUGCCUCCUUGUCAACCCUUGCUACUUUCUGUCUCCUAAAAAUGCAUUAAAAGUCACCCUAAUGUAUGUGAA